GCGGAGUGAAACCCUGGACGUGUUGCGAGCAGGCCGCCCACUUGCACGCUGAGUGUGGUAGGCUCGCGACGGGCGUCGGUGCAACGUAACACUUCUUCCCAGGGAUUCAUCUGAGGCUGUGCUGCUCAGUCCUGAGAUGAAGAAGCGAGAAGAGAUGUGAACACAAAGCUGCUUACGUAGUCCUGGACGCCAUCGCCACAGUUGCACUGCAGACUAGUGUGGGUGAAAGCAUGGUCUGGAGGAGGUGCUGCAGGAGGUGGAGGGAUGACUGUGUUGCAUGGUGUUCAGGGGCACCAGGUGGAGGUGGAGGAUGCAGGUGAAGAGGUGGAGCGGAGAGCGCACGUGACGUACUGCCUGACGCCAGCGGAGGGGGCGGGGCCAUCGUCUGGCAGGGUGGAGCCAGAACGCGAGGAGCAAGAGGCUGCCCCGUCUACCUCCGUCGUUGCCCACUGCUGCAAUGCCGUCGCCAUCUGGUGCGAUGCCCCUACAACCGCCGCUUACGCACUCAUAGGCCUAUCGCGAUGCUGGUGGCAGUACACUGUGACGUCAUCCUCUGCGGGAGACAACAUGGGUGACGCAAUGCAAGAAGGCGUGGCCGCCGAGAUCAAGGGCGGGGCCAAACCUGGGGUUACCGAGGUCGGUUGGCCUCUGCCAUGCAGUCUGUCCUCUCUUCUCGCCAUGAACUGCCGGGCGCGGGCGGAGGGCCUUGCUCGCCGCCUACAGACAAGCCUUCGCGUGGGGUCAGGGGGCUCGGUGGCCCUCGAGCAGACGUCCCUGGUGACGCCGGGCCCGGAGGACCACUAUGCGUCCAUGGAGUGCCGCCAUGCCUCGCUGGACGACCCCCAGUUGGACCCGGUGGACGACCCGAACCUCCGCCCCAUUCACGUAGUGACGUCAGAGCCCUCCCUACGCCUCUGCCUCCCGUCCCCGCCCGCAUUGCCCAACGUGGCUGAGCAGGACUCGGACGUCUAUUAUGACUUCGACCUUGCCAGCCCGGAAGACGCACCUGAGGAUGAGGAAAAGGAAUGCGAUAACGUGAUAAAGAGAUACGAGAGACCCGAGAGCGGAUGCGCAACUUCCGUCACUUCGCCUGUUAUGUUCGACGAAGAGUGUGAGGACGACGGUGAAGAGAAACAAAAGGAUCAAGAGGAACGCACUCACUCGCAGGAGGCCAACAUGUGCACCUCAGAAGCCGAACUUCGCGUCAUGAGACAAAUCCUGUCGUCCUCCUCCCUGACGGACGUCCUCUCGCCGAUGGACAGGGCAGCCGAGACAGAUACCAAAGCCAUGUGUGAUGAUUCCAGCAGAUACCAAAGUGCGAAUGGCACAGCAAAGUGCGUGUGUGGGGCGUGCCAGUUCGAUGACGAGGGCGAGUGUGGGUGUUCCCCGGGGCACCUGGAGACCCAUUACAUUGUAACUCACUCGUGGGGGGAGCCAGAAGAAUCGUGUGCAGAUGAGAUCCCAGAGGGCGCUGCUAUGCCUGGAGACAGUUACGUCUCGCUAUCAAUGCAAGGAACAUCGCCAGUAGCCAACACAGACCCACGUUGGUGCCACCCCGGGUCGGGCACUCCGCCGGCAGUGCCACAUCCACCAGCUGAUCAACGCGCGGUGACCAUAACAAACGCAGGCAGUGGCGACAGUGAUGGUGCUGAAUGGGACAGAUAUGAAAAGAGUGAUGUGCAUAGACUUAGUGAGGCGGUAAUGACCAAUGAUAAGGGAUGGGACAAAGACAAGAAAGAUCAGAGCAAAAAUGUGUUGGGCGACGGGGAAGGGAACACCGUAUACUUUGCGGAGGUUACAGUGACAGAGAUCAGUGGUGAAGCUAAACCCGUGUGCAGUGAUGGUGAUGUAGAACUCAAAGCAGAUACUGACACUGAAGGGAAAAUAAUCCUGCAAAGCGCCUCAGAAACUGCCAGUGUCCCCCAGGCUAUUUCUGGCACGACACCCCCGCUCGCCGACCCUCACCUCUACACGCCCUCUGAAGGACAGCCCGCCGUCAUGGAGUCACGAGGGGAAGCCGAGGGGAGAGACGAGCUUUUUUGUAUGGACGCUGACGCCGAAGAGAUUGAGACUCUCGGGGAGGAUGAGGAGGAGAGCGACGACGAAGAGAACGAGGAGGACAUUGACGAGGAGGUGAUUCUCACUGGAAAGUUCCGCAACAUCCGCGGUUACACGGAGCGCGUUCGACGUCUGUCAGACGACAUCGAAGACAGAAUCUCACCCACGAGCAUCACAUACGAGGACAGCUGUUUCUGUGAGUCGCCGAAGUCCAGUAAGUCCUCGACCGCCUCAUCCGAAGUAAACGAUGGCGGCGAGGAACUGGCUGCACAACUGUCACAACUGGAGGUGGAAGAUGUGGAUGUUCAAGUGGACGACGAAGAGGUGGAAGAUGAUGCCCAGGCUGGAGAACGUUCCUCCUCAGAGGAGACUGACCCAGCCCGAGUAGAAGAUUUCAAACUGCGGAUCAAGCGUUCCUCUUCCUUGAAGUGCGGGAAGACGCCUCCUGGCACACCUGGACGCAAGAAAAUCGUGCGCUUUGCAGACAUGUUGGGACUCGAUUUAGCCGCGGUCAGGACUUUCCUUGCGGGCGUCCCGCACGUUCCACGUUCCGCCUUCUGGGACCUCGAACUGGAGCGCGAAGCAGCGGAGGCGGCGAAGUCUUCGUUCACACAGAACAUAGGGCCGACGCGCGUUCUCACGCCCCUGUUUCAGCAGCCUGGCUCGCAUCCCGACUUCCUGGAGCGCGUGCGGCAGCAGCGGGUGGUCGUGGAGAAUAUCGAAGUCGGUGAGGACCUGAGUGUGCGAGGGGUGGUGCGCGUGCUCAGCCUCGACUUCCACAAGAGCGUCUUCGUGAGGUACACCUUCGACCAGUGGCGCAAUUAUCACGAGGCGACAGCCGCGUACGUCCCCGGCUCCCACGACGGCCUCACCGACCGCUUCUCCUUCCUGCUGUGGGGCAACUUCCUGCAGGACGACGGGGCUCUCAUCUUCUGCGUCCGCUACCACACGCUCGGCCAAGAGUUCUGGGACAACAACCGCGGCCGGGACUACGUGCUGCAGUGCUACAAGACGUCGGGGGCGCCUGGAGGGCCCGGCAGAAUCGGCCCCACUGUCCCUCAGAACGUGAGCAGCGUCGAGGCGCACUACAGCGGAGGCAGGAACUUCAGCUCGAGGCCCAACAACUUCAACGACGUCUAUGGUACUUCGCCCACCACGCCCAGCGACCCAUGGGCGACCAGAUUCUUCUAGUUGAAUACAAAUCCAACAAAACAAGAAGUCCAACUUCUUGUCUCACGCGGAUCGCUGGACAUUCAUUCACAAAAUGUACACUCUACGAACGGCAGGGAAAGUGACACAGAAUUCAGCCAGCUGUGUCAUGGGAACGCGCCUGAUGUCUGCCUUGGACCAGGUUCUAGGCGUUCGGGUGCUCGAGGUCGGCGGCUCCCACACUUUUUGGGCUUUGCACCGGCCUGCAUACGUUCAGGCAUUCCGGGGAAUAAAGGAUGCCCUACAGAUAUGAUUAGCGCAUUUGAGGACAAUGUCGAAAUUUUCAUCAAAGUAAUAUUACGAUUGGAUGGUGGCUGAAUGCAAUGGGCCAGAAGACCUUCCCAGUCGCCCCCGCCCCUCGGGGUCCGCUCACAAACCUGCCUCCGCCAGAGAUUUUCACCGGCACUAUAUCGUCACGUCAUCACACCGUCACGUCACCACCACACACGACCCACCACAGAGUCAUGAUUUCACCGCAAACGAACUCAGCACCACAAGUCAAGCAGGCUGCUGAACAUAAUACGCUUUACAGAACGGUCGCGCUGCUCACGAAUUUCCUCCUCAAAUCCAAUCCCUCCUUUUCUGCCCUCGAGGCCCCGCGGGUCCCCGACGCCACCUCUCUCCUCUGCGGUGUCACGUUACCCCCCCGCCAACGCCUACCGCCGGCUCCUCCGCCUCAGCCUUGUUCUUCGGGCGCCGUCUUGCUGUCUGAGGCAAAGCCUGUUACCGAGACAAGCUGCACAAAUAAGUGAAUAUGAUAAGUGGAACGGUCCUUGCUGGUGCUACGGGAUUGCUGGUUAGGCACGGCUGAGGGUAGGUGUUGAUACGCUUGCAUUAUGUUUAUAUUUAUUUAUUAAAACACACACACACACACACACACACACACACACACACACACACACACACACACACACACACACACACACACACACACACACACACACAUACAUAUAUAGUGUAAUCUCCCUUAUGACGAGCCACAAAAACAAUUAGAUCAUUAAGGGGACAGCAAGCAAGUGUCAAGUACUCUUACAAAAGUGUUCGAAAGACUUUCAAGCAUGAGUGUGAUUCUAUAUCUUCUGUUCCGUAACUUGGCCAAAAAAGUGCCAAAAUGAUGAGAAGUUUCUCAAAGUCUUCUAGAUAUGAAUCUAUGAGAGAAAUGUAUAAAAUCAAACACGACAUUAACUGCCGCAA
rnacentral:misc_RNA from 1 species